rnacentral:rRNA from 1 species
CAGUAGCCGCGGGAAUACGUAGGGCGCAAGCGUUGUCCGGAAUUAUUGGGCGUAAAGAGCUCGUAGGCGGUCUGUCGCGUCUGGUGUGAAAUCCCGAGGCUCAACCUCGGGCUUGCAUCGGGUACGGGCAGACUAGAGUGCGGUAGGGGAGACUGGAAUUCCUGGUGUAGCGGUGGAAUGCGCAGAUAUCAGGAGGAACACCGAUGGCGAAGGCAGGUCUCUGGGCCGCAACUGACGCUGAGGAGCGAAAGCAUGGGGAGCGAACAGGAUUAGAGACCCCCGUAGUCCCUGUCUCUUAUAC